rnacentral:lncRNA from 1 species
UGGGCCCCCAUAAUGACAAUCUCCCCAUCCUUGCUGUGGCUGUGCAAUGUGGCCCAGUCCCAAGGGGCAGGUAGGAAGGCCAAGGGCAUUGGUGGGAAAGGCUUGUAAGAGCCCAUGCAGGCCUGGGGGAAGAGUAUCCGGACUGAAGAAAAAAAAUCCUGUGUGCAUGGAAGAAGUGUGAGGUUUAUCUCUAGAAAAGCAGAACAUUCAUCACAGGAUCAGAAUACACUCUGGAUUGUCUUCCCAUGUGCAGACUACACCAACUGAAGUCUUGAAUCCACUUAACGCCUUUUUGUAAGUAGAUUCUAUCAGUGUGUAAGCAGACUCUAUCAGUGUGUUAUUCAGUACUCAGUGAAGAAAAUGGCUAAUUCAGUAACUGAUAUAAGAAACACUGCCAUAUAUUUUGU